rnacentral:tRNA from 1 species
UCCAGGGUAGCCUAGUGGACACGGCAUCUGCCCGGUAAGCGGAACAUUGUGGGUUCGAUUCCCAUCCCUGGAC